GACGUUGAUAGGCAGGGUGUGUAAGUGCUGCGAGGCAUUGAGCUAACCUGUACUAAUUGCCCGUGAGGCUUAACCAU
rnacentral:rRNA from 1 species